GACGAACGCUGGCGGCGUGCUUAACACAUGCAAGUCGAACGGAGUCGCGAACGGGUGAGUAACCCGUGGGUGUCCUUACCUUCACUUCGUGAUAAGCCUGGGCAAGUGGGUCUAAUACCUGCUAGUGUCGGUUGGGCCCGCGGCCAUUCAGCUUGUUGGUGGGGUAAUGGCAUACCAAGGCGGCGACGGGUAGCCGGCCUGAGAGGGUGGACGACCACAAGGGGACUGAGACACGGCGCAGACUCGUACGGGAGACAGCGGUGGGGAGUAUGGCACACGGGGCGGAAGCCUGAUGCAGCGACGCUGGGUGGGGGAUGACGGCCUUCGGGUUGUAAAGUCCUGUCACCAUAGACGCGGUAGAAGGAGAAGAAGCACCGGCUAACUACGUGCCAGCAGCCGCGGUAAUUC
rnacentral:rRNA from 1 species